GAACAAUCUCAGCUCUUUCUUAAUGAGGCCCCUUUUUGUCGCAAACGUGCACACACCCGGAACUUAUUAGUGGGCGAGCCUUCGGGGGACUCUUUUACUCGAACACCGUGGGUGGAGAGGACAGGCCAAGUUUGAGUGGAGGAGCCCUGGGGCUUGGAAGCGUCAACAGGAUAGAGCAGAGGGCUGUCAGGCUGAGAACAUGCUAAUAAGCUUCUUAUGGACCUCCGUCUGGCUCGCUGCAUGCAAAACAGCUGCUCUGUGACCCUCCAUCUUCUGUCGAUAGGUGUCGAACCCCUCCCGAGCCACGC